GUAAGUUUUGCUUGUAUUUUGGAGAAACUCGAUUGAUGAACAAACUUGGUUUACCACUACAUCGUCGCUUAUUAUUAUUUGUUGCUGCUUGGGACAAUAAAGUUAAGUCAGCAACCGUCUACCAGACUGCAAGAUUCAUCUCUUCCAAAGGAUGUCGUACCUUUCCAGAUACACUGUGUUUUGUGUGGAUAAGAAAUGCAGAGUGGUACCACCAAUCACCUAAGCCACCAUUCCCCUAACAGACAAUAGGCUCAUGGGGACAGUUCCUGCAAUUUACAGAAAAGCUCUCAAUUGUAGCCCUACGAACAUCAGAUACUGCCGAUGGUGAAGCUUGGGUGCACCGGGCCGGUUUUCCAGCCGUGUGGAAUCAACAUCUCCAGCUGAACUGGGGCCGGGAAUUAUAUAAGACUCCUUAGCAGCAUG